GAUGAACGCUGGCGGCGUGCUUAACACAUGCAAGUCGAACGAGAAUCAACGGAUUGAGGAUUCGUCCAAAUGAAGUUGAGGAAAGUGGCGGACGGGUGAGUAACGCGUGAGGAACCUGCCUCGGAGUGGGGGAAUAACAGUUGGAAACAGCUGCUAAUACCGCAUAAUGCAACGAAAUCGCAUGACUUUGUUGCCAAAGAUUUAUCGCUCUGAGAUGGCCUCGCGUCUGAUUAGCUAGUUGGCGGGGUAACGGCCCACCAAGGCUAUGAUCAGUAGCUGGUUUGAGAGGAUGAUCAGCCACAAUGGGACUGAGACACGGCCCAU
rnacentral:rRNA from 1 species